CUCGCCGAGGAGCGUUGCGACGGGGCCCCGCCCCGCCAGGCUCGGCGAUCCCAAAUCAGCAACGGCGCUCACGAACU
rnacentral:ncRNA from 2 species